AGUGAACGCUGGCGGUAGGCCUAACACAUGCAAGUCGAACGGCAGCACAGUAAAAGCUUGCUCUUACGGGUGGCGAGUGGCGGACGGGUGAGGAAUACAUCGGAAUCUACUUUUUCGUGGGGGAUAACGUAGGGAAACUUACGCUAAUACCGCAUACGACCUACGGGUGAAAGCAGGGGAUCUUCGGACCUUGCGCGAUUGAAUGAGCCGAUGUCGGAUUAGCUAGUUGGCGGGGUAAAGGCCCACCAAGGCGACGAUCCGUAGCUGGUCUGAGAGGAUGAUCAGCCACACUGGAACUGAGACACGGUCCAGACUCCUACAGGAGGCAGCAGUGGGGAAUAUUGGACAAUGGGCGCAAGCCUGAUCCAGCCAUACCGCGUGGGUGAAGAAGGCCUUCGGGUCGUAAAGCCCUUUUGUUGGGAAAGAAAAGCAGCAGGUUAAUACCCCGCUGUUCUGACGGUACCCAAAGAAUAAGCACCGGCUAACUUCGUG
rnacentral:rRNA from 1 species